rnacentral:rRNA from 1 species
CGCGGCCUAUCAGCUUGUUGGUGGGGUAAUGGCCUACCAAGGCUUCGACGGGUAGCCGGCCUGAGAGGGUGACCGGCCACACUGGGACUGAGACACGGCCCAGACUCCUACGGGAGGCAGCAGUGGGGAAUAUUGGACAAUGGGCGGAAGCCUGAUCCAGCAACGCCGCGUGAGGGAUGACGGCCUUCGGGUUGUAAACCUCUUUCAGCACAGACGAAGCGCAAGUGACGGUAUGUGCAGAAGAAGGACCGGCCAACUACGUGCCAGCAGCCGCGGUAAUACGUAGGGUCCGAGCGUUGUCCGGAAUUAUUGGGCGUAAAGGGCUCGUAGGCGGUUUGUCGCGUCGGGAGUGAAAACACCGGGCUUAACUCGGUGCUUGCUUUCGAUACGGGCAGACUAGAGGCAUUCAGGGGAGAACGGAAUUCCUGGUGUAGCGGUGAAAUGCUCAGAUAUCAGGAGGAACACCGGUGGCGAAGGCGGUUCUCUGGGAAUGUCCUGACGCUGAGGAGCGAAAGUGUGGGGAGCGAACAGGAUUAGAUACCCUGGUAGUCCACACCGUAAACGUUGGGCGCUAGGUGUGGGAUCCAUUCCACGGGUUCCGUGCCGCAGCUAACGCAUUAAGCGCCCCGCCUGGGGAGUACGG